GACCUCAAAUCAGGUAGGACUACCCGCUGAACUUAAGCAUAUCAAUAAGCGGAGGAAAAGAAACUAACAAGGAUUCCCCUAGUAACUGCGAGUGAAGCGGGAAAAGCUCAAAUUUAAAAUCUGGCGGUCUUUGGCCGUCCGAGUUGUAAUCUAGAGAAGUGUUAUCCGCGCUGGACCGUGUACAAGUCUCCUGGAAUGGAGCGUCAUAGAGGGUGAGAAUCCCGUCUUUGACACGGACUGCCAGGGCUUUGUGAUGCGCUCUCAAAGAGUCGAGUUGUUUGGGAAUGCAGCUCAAAAUGGGUGGUAAAUUCCAUCUAAAGCUAAAUAUUGGCGAGAGACCGAUAGCGAACAAGUACCGUGAGGGAAAGAUGAAAAGAACUUUGGAAAGAGAGUUAAACAGUACGUGAAAUUGCUGAAAGGGAAACGCUUGAAGUCAGUCGCAUUGUCUGGGAAUCAACCUUGCUUUUGCUGGGCGUACUUUCCAGAUGAUGGGUCAGCAUCAAUUUUGACCGUUGGAUAAAGUUCAGAGGAAUGUGGCAUCUUCGGGUGUGUUAUAGCCUUUGUUCGCAUACAACGGUUGGGAUUGAGGAACUCAGCACGCCGAAAGGCCGGGUACUUGUACCACGUUCGUGCUUAGGAUGCUGGCAUAAUGGCUUUAAUCGACCCGUCUUGAAACACGGACCAAGGAGUCUAACAUGCCUGCGAGUAUUUGGGUGGAAAACCCGAGUGCGUAAUGAAAGUGAAAGUUGAGAUCCCUGUCAUGGGGAGCAUCGACGCCCGGACCAGACCUUUUGUGACGGAUCUGCGGUAGAGCAUGUAUGUUGGGACCCGAAAGAUGGUGAACUAUGCCUGAAUAGGGUGAAGCCAGAGGAAACUCUGGUGGAGGCUCGUAGCGAUUCUGACGUGCAAAUCGAUCGUCAAAUUUGGGUAUAGGGGCGAAAGACUAAUCGAACCAUCUAGUAGCUGGUUCCU
rnacentral:rRNA from 1 species